UAGCUUUUAGCUGAGUUUAUCAGGUUAAGAUGCAUAUUAUUGCUGUGAACUUACGACUUCUGCUGCUACAUAGUUGCCUUUUACACGGAGUUGAAAAAAGCAGGGCAUACCUCUACUGUUUGGCACCCUAAAACGUCCCCCUGAGGGCAGGAGCUGAUACUCCACAUGGAGGACAUGGGAAGGGUCCUUUGCGACUGUGUUUUCCAGCCUGAGCAUUUUCUUUUUGCAGCUGUUAAGAAAACUGUUCUCAACACUCUGGACCAGAUGUUCAAUCAGCCUAAAGCCAUGUUCACUCUGCAGGUCUUAAUGCUCAACUCUGAUCUUUCUCAGAUCUGUAUGUUUUGUUUGCCUGUUCACACUGCAGUCAACUUCCAAAGGUCAGAUACGUAUCUGAUUUAGAACCACAUACAAAAGUGGCUUGAAUCUGAUUCGAAAAGGUCAGAUUCAAUGUGACUUGUGCUGUUCACACUGUCAGAGAAAAAUCAGAUACGAGUCACAUGUGAGCAAAAAAAUCGGAUUCAGGUCACUUUUAACUGCAGUGUGAACGUAGCCUAAGUAUCCUUGCUUUCAGUCAGCCUCAGAACCAGACUGGGCCCUCUUUAUGUUGUAUAAUGUUAUGUUGUUUGCAAGCUGAUUUAACAUUUUAGUAUUUGAGAAGUUAUUAUAACUUGUAUAUUAUCGAUUUUAUAAAAGGUCAUCGAUUUCCCUCAAAAUGUUUGGGACUAUCAAUACACACAUACGGCAUUUUCCAGAUAAGAUACGAUUUACAUCAUGCUUUACAACAGGGGUGUCAAACUCAAGGCCCGGGGCCCAAAUCCAGACCUUGGAACAGUUAAAUUCAGCCUGCAAAAUUCUAACAUAUUUUUGUUAUAACUGGCCCUCAGUAUGAGACCUGCAGAUUUCCUCAAGUAUAAAAAUGUACACUUAACCUUGAUGAUUUAAGAUAUACUUUUUAAGUCAUAAACAAUGAAAAAGUAAGGAGUAGAAAUAAUUAAAAAGUCAGGAAGGAGGAUGAUCAAAACGUCUUCAGCUUAUUCUGAUUGAUUGUUGGCACCGCCUGUUGACUGUAAAUCAUUAGGACAACUUCAGAUGACUGUAAAACAUUUAACUGCUUCCUUAGACUUCAACACCACUUUUCAUCACUAAUUGAUUUGUUGCUAACUUCAUCUCCAUUAACCAAUGAAAAAGCAUUGUCAUUUUACUACAUUAUGAAUGUAUUUUGAUUGUAAAUCCAGGCUGUUGGCCUCCAACACCUUGGAAAUAAUUUGCCUUGUGCUUUAGUCAUCAAAGGUGUAUUCACAAAUUUUCAUUGUACUGUACUUAGAAGUAUAUUUAAAAGUAAAAAAAAACAAAAAAAAAAAACAAUGCUGUGUACACUAAACAUUGAAAAUGGUGUUGGUUGGAAUAAGAACAUGUGUAACUUGUCUUGUGAAAAUUUUCUGAGAAUAACUGUGUAUUCUGUGCCAUAAAAUCGAUCUGAUCUGUU